rnacentral:lncRNA from 1 species
UCUAUAUGAUUUGAUUCAAUAAUGAUCAUGAUUUUGUUUGAGAAACUUGUAUUGAUUUUAGGCAAAUUGGUGUAUUUGUUUCAAAAGAUUUGAUUAUCUUUUUUUGGGGUUUUAAGCACAAUGAGAGUUAUGCACAUAAGGUGUUUGAUGAAAGUCGUUGUUAUACAAAACCCUUGAUCAUCUAAUUGCUACUGAUUCAGUAAUCAUGAUGUGGGAGUAAAUCCAUUUUUGCACAUUAGAAUACAAUUUACAGACAAGAUAAUAUGAUGAAGUUUAUACUACUAUGUGUUAAUUAAGCUAUUGUUUAUCGAUUUCUCUAAAUAUCUGCUACUGUAUUUUCUAAAAGUUGAUGCUACAACACUAGCUGAGUCACUAAAAGCUUGCUACUACUCUACUGGUAAUACCUUGUUACUGCAUUUUUGGAAAUAGUUGUUAGUCUUGCUACCAACUAAUUGAGCCACUAAAACAUGCUGUUGCGUUUUUUUUAAAAUAAUUGGUACUACAUUAGCUAAGUCACUAAAAGUCUGCUACUACAUUUACUGGAAAUAGCUUUGCUACUGCAUUUACUAGAAGUAGUUGCUACUAUAUUGGCUGAGCCACUAAAAACAUGCUACUACAUUUAUUGGAAAUAGCUGCUACUGCAUUUACUGAAAGUAAUUGCUACUACACUUACUAAAACUGCUACUGCACUUACUGAAACUGCUACUACACUAGCUGAACCACUAAAACCCUGCUACUAUAUUUGUUGGAAGUGUAGCUUUCCAGCAAAACAUGCUACUACAUUAGCUGAGCCACUGAAAUAUGCUACUGCACUUACUGAAACUGCACUUACUGAAACUGCUACUACACUAACUGAACCACUAAAACCCUGCUACUACAUUUGUUGGAAGUGUAGCUUUCCAGCAAAACAUGCUACUACAUUAGCUGAGCCAUUGAAAAUAUGUUACUGCACUUACUGAAACUACUACUACACUAGCUGAACCACUAAAACUCUGCUACUACAUAUGUUAGAAGUGUAGCUUUCCAGCAAAACAUGCUACUACAUAAGCUGAGCCAUUGAAAACCUGCUACUACUUCUAUUGGGAUGUUAACCUCUGCUACCACUUUCUACUGGAAUGUUAACCUAUGAUACUACUUCUACUGGAAUUAACUGCUACUACUACUGGGAUGUUAACCCCUACUACUACUUCUACUGGGAUGUUAACCCCUGCUACUACACUAGAAUUAACUACUACUACACUAAGUUAUCCAAAAAAAUAUUAGAUAUUUACGUCAAUAUAGAGACGACAGAAGAGUGUCGUCUUAGAUUGAACCAUUGUAUUGAAAAUUUGGGGUUGUUUUAAGACGACAGACGUCUGUCAUCUCAUGAACAAGCUAAUUUAAGCUAUCUGUGAGUUGCUACAUUCAGACGACAUAUAUUUAAAUGUGUAUCGUCUGAAUGUAUCAGAUGACAGAAAUACGUCUUCUGUCGUCUGAAGCCAAAAAAGACGUAGUGAAACCUGUAAACACUUCUGAAAAUUUAAAUCCAACCUUAAACUCUUAGAGCCUUCGUGCUCCCCAAAUCACAACACCACCCAAAAUAAUUACUAAUCUAAAAAAAUCUCAUAUCCAACCCUUUAUAGGUUCAGAGAAACUCUAAUAGGAAGAAAUGAAACAUACAAAAUUAACAAGCGGAAGCUAUAUGAUGACUAUGCCUCAUCUCCAUGUAUGCCCGACCUCAACUAAGCUAACCUACAAGUUGGACAUUUUUAAAACAAAAGGCCCGGGGAAAACAUUUGAAAAUGUUAGAGUGAGUGGACAAAAAUAAAUUAAUAAAAAAUAUUUAUGCAUUCCCAUUUUAAUUUCUAAAGAAAUUAUACUGCAUGCGUCCGCUCAAAAGCGCUCAACUCAUAAACUGGCAACUUCACGACUAGCUCUGGCUAGUUACCAACUCAAAUAAAAUGGAGCCUCUCAGGCUAAACUAUAUAUAAACAUAUACGUGUAUGUAUUUACACUCGUCAGACUCCUUGUAUGAAUUCUAUAAACAACUUAGAAAAAUAGAAACUCAUACAAGGCUAUGACACUUGCGUCUAAUGCUCACGUCACGUCAUAAUGGAAUUUUUCCUCAUUAUGACCGAAGAGGACGGUGUAUAUAUACGUGUGGACUCCCUAUAUGAAAACCUAAAUAAACCAGAAAAGAACGUAGUUUUCAUAUAGGGCUAUGACGCUUGUGUCUAACACUCACGUCACGCCAUAAUGGUAUUUUACCUCAUUAUGACGGACCAAGCACGUAUGGCUAGCUAGCAUUUAUAUACAUACUAUACUCAUAACAUCCAAUAAACAUAACCACCGAAAAUCUCAUUUUCGGGAACUCUCCAAAGGAGAAAAAAUUGCCAAAUAACCAAUAAGUCUCAUUAAAAGAAAUAAAUGAUCAAUAAAAUAAUUCUUCGCAUGUUUUUCAAUUAAAACAAAGGUCCACUCACAACUUUAGGCAUAAGCCCGACGAAAUCCAAAUCGUCACUCUAGUGAGGUUUCCUCGAACCCUGGUACAAAUAUAUAAUUAAUUUCCCAACAAAAAAUCCAAUAUUUAUACAAAAUAGGCAAAAUUAACCGAGAGUCAUAAACACGCUCAUCAUUGCCUAACUUCGAUAUUCUUCAUUCGAAAAAACCCAAACUUUAAUACCAUACUCGGCAGCCGUAAAUACAACCUCCCCCAGAAAUUGACUUAAAUCCUACAGCCGGAUUCUACAUUAUUCAACCGCCAAAAAUACCAAACUUCGGAAAUUCACAAACCUAUCCAAAACUCUUCCUAAAAUUCCAUAAUUCACAUCAAUAAACUCCUCUUAAUAUUCCACACUUAAAACUAUACAAAACUCCCAAACAACGGCGGCGGCCGGAGGCCGAUUCCGGCGACCUCCAAUGCCCACCAAAUUAUAACAGUAGCUUCCUCUCCACUCCCUCUACAACACUUUCCUAACUAGCACAAACACAAAAUCCAAGCCUAGCUAGGGGAAUCGAACGCAAACACCUAAAGAGCCCUAGGAUUUCAACUUCAAAUUUCUCCUUACCUAGCUCAAGAGGGAGUAAGCCAUUUGAAGGGGUUGCUGAACGGAAGGAGGGCUACAAAACGAGCCAAGGAUCGUCGGCUUUGGCGGCCGGAGGAGAGAGUUCCGACGAGAAGAUAACCGGCUUCCAAGGAGGACUUCCUCCGUUCGGCGGGGUUGCAGCGCCGCUCACCAGCCCAGGAAGGCGGCGGGGAGGACGACGGACCGUGCUGGAGUGGUGCGGCGUCCCUACUUGGCUGGACGAUACUGACUGGGCUCGGGAAACUUCCAGCAGUCCAAGAGAGAAAGAGAAAGGGUCAGGGAGAAGAAGAGAAGGAAGAGAGAAGAAGAAGAAAGAAUGAGAAAUGGUUUGGGCCUCCCCAAACCGGGCCAACUCUAAAAAUACCCACACCAAACAUACACCCAACUCCAAAAAUAAUACCCACUAAAAAUUACCUUUUACUAGCCUAAAAUUUACCCUCUUUACCGUCUUCAAAAUUUUUCAUACGAAUAACUCUCCGAAAUAAUCGUCCUCCAAAACCCUUCUAGGGACCAAUUAAACUAUAGCUUCAUUGACGAAGACGGUAAAAUUCUUAUUAUAAUCAAGCUAGUAAAUAAGGUAGAAAUUUAAAGGUCGGGAUGUGACACUUUUGGGCCUCAUUAGUUAGUUUUUAAUUUAUUUAUUUAUAUGUUUCUUGCAUUUUAUUGUAUCUUAUAUCAAAGUAUUUGAGUGUAAUGCUUACUAUGUCUUAUAUAUAUCAUAUCUAUGUAUUUGAGGUCCGACAAUCCCCGGGCUCAUGACCGCAUUGAGCGGCCACAAACAUGGGCAAGUUGAAGCCGUCAACAAGACUAACAUUGUAGAAAUCUUGACUCCCGCCUUCAGCAAUGUUAAAUUCCACCAACGUGGCUGGAGGAACUCAUCCUCCAUCCCCUGGUAUUCUAUUCGUUGAAUUGAGGUUUUUUUUUUUUUUUUUGUAUGAAAAACCAGCUAGAUUAAACGGAGGUGCCUCUAAUGCACCCGCGGUUUACAGAGUCAAAAGACAGNNNNNNNNNNNNNNNNNNNNNNNNNNGGGGGAACAAUCUCCUCCCAGAAAUGAACAUCUCCUACUUUGUGGCCAAAAUUUGCAACAACAUUAGCUACAAAAUUGGCCUCUCUAAAAAUAUGCUUGAAGCUAAUAUAAUCAAAGGAGUUCCUCAUAAUUCUAAUUUCUUGAACUAGCUUGAGGAUCCUCUAGGGUGUAGCAACAAUGCCAUUAACUGCAUCGAGGACAAGCUUCGAGUCUCCUUCAACCUCCACUCUGGACAAGCCUCUCUCCUUGGCACAAAUGAGGCUGUAUAGAAGUGAAAGGGCUUCUGCAACUGAGAUUGUGGUAAUUUCGAAAUUGGAAGAAGCUGCAACAAGUGGAUUGUCAGUAGGGGUUCGGAUUACGAAUCCUCCUGCUGCAAAUCGGAGUUCCUCCAGACUGAGCCAUCAAAAUUAAUUUUAACCCUAUCAAUAGGGGUUGGUGACCACCUGAUCAUUUCAGAGUCUGUUCCGGGAGUAAUUAAUAAUCAAAUUCCUAGUUGAACUAGGAUCACUCUGAGUAUUACUUAGAGCCUGUAGGUGAGCUGCAGCAGUAGCUACUGCAUGUGGCAUUGGAUCUAGGGGUUUUGCCCCUAAAAACCGCAUCGUUUCUGUCCUUCCAUAUCUGCCAACAAGUCACAAUAAAAUUUCCAAAAAGAUUAGAGUCAUAUUGAUUAUCUAUAAACCAAUUACGCACCACCUUAAUAAGGCCUUCCUCCUAGUCAAUAGGAGGAGUCAUGGUAGCUGCAUUCCACACAGAAGUUGCAAAUUUGCAGCAACCAAAUAAAAUUCGUUGAAUUAAGUUAUCAGUGUCCUCAUACACACAAUAGAAAAUUCUCUUUCUAUAUAUCACCCAAUAAAAUACCCAAGCUCAGGACCUCUCUCCACCCAAAGGAAUCAAGCACUUUAAUAAGCUGGAUUGUAAGGUCAUACACAUUAACCAGAGGAACAUCUGACGUUAUCACAACUUUCUCAUGAUCAUCAGCAAUGCAUUUAUACUUGAGACCUUCCAAAAUGGCCACACUAUCAUCAUUCUCAAGAAGCUCCAAAUUAAAUGUAGAUAAUGAACUAGUAGAAACAAAUCCUCAUGGCUAUCAUUCACAUAAACAUUUCCAAUCACUAAUCCGUUGUCAGUAAUCAUGGUAGAUCACCUAAUACAGCGCUUAAUCACAUCAAUCAGUACCUUCUUUGCCUUCUCAAAUUGACCCGAUUCACAAUAUCGACACACCACAGCAAGUUGUUGUUCAACUCCAGGGCCAUCAUCACCAGCUUGAUAAUCUUUGUCUCCAGUACUCAAAAGAGCAGAAUUGGUCCUUCCUGCAUAACACAAGCCACUCGACUUUGGCAUUUUAUCAAACAGGUGGAGCAUACGGUAUUCUCUUCUUUUCACUCCCAAAUUCAGUCCCUGAUUAUUUUGCUUAACAUUGAUACCCUCCAAGCUCCAACUCAUGGGGCUUUCUACCAUCUCCAUCAUUCAUCACAAUCUUCUGAACAAAACUCUCUCCCUUCUUAGUAGCACAGUUCACAUCAAUACCAUCCAAUUUAAGUAAUCACAGAAUCAACAGCAAAACUAUCCUUACCACUGCUUAACAGUAGAGAUAUCGUAAUUCAAACUCAAAAUCUCAUCAGUAGCAGGUCCCCCACCUUUGUCUCGAAUACUCGUAAGAGCAGAAUCGGCAUUUCUUCCACUACCACACCCCUUUGACUUGGGCAUUUCAUCGAGCAGAGCCUUCUCUCCCAUAUUUUGCUGAAAUUGGACCUAAACAGAAGGAUGCCUGGGUGUUAUUCCCUUGGGGCCGACACAGUGCUGCCAAGCAGAGAAGGCACAAUUGCCGUCCUGAAUGAGAACUUGCGCAUCGAGGGCUUAUUGCGCUUCAGGCACUUGUGCUUCUUCACUCCGCGAGUGGCUGGAAUCGACUCGCUGGAGGCUUGCUUGCUUUGGGAUACUUGACACUGCUGCUCUCCUGAUUCAUAACAGUUUGCUACUUCUAUGCAGUUACGGCAAGAUCUUGAUCGACUACGAGGCUCUCAACCUCAGGAUCGAACAAGAACAACACAUCAGAGAUGAAUCAUCGGCGUACGAUUUGCUCGACUAUUUCUUCAAGCUCAUCCUCAACGAUCGUCAAAGAAACCUAGCUGAAGCAGUUUCAUGUCUUGUCUUUGCUUCUUCAAGAUUAACAUGCGGGGUGAUUCCUAAGCUUGGGGAGAUCAGGGACUUGUUCGGCGAGCGUUACGAGGAGAGUUUUGUCGACACUGCUGUUAAACUGUUGCCUGGGAAUCUUGUAAACCCUACCUUCAAAAAGAAUAUCAUCGCUCUCUGCCCGCCAGACUCAGAGGUGCCUACUGACGUCAUAGUAAAACAUGAACUGGUCAAACCCUCUUUUACUAGUUCUUCUCCUGAUCAGGCACCAGCGAGAUCAUCAGAACAGAAAAAGGAUGACAAGGUCCAAUGCCCUAAACAUGUCCACCCCAAAUUGCCUGAUUGGGAUGAUAUAUAUACCCAGUUCAAUGCUCUCAAGAAGCCUAAAUAUGUGAACCCUAAGUUGCCCGAUAUUGCAGCCAAGAUUAAUGCUCUCAAUCUCUCGAAGAAUGAGAACACUGCUGACAAUUACCAGUUGCAACUACAGUACCAUGAAGUUCAUGGCAGUGUUGAUGAUGGAGCAAUAUUCAGUUUUCAUGGUUGUCGAAACUCGAUAGAAAGAAUUGAAUUUGAAAUCCAGCAGUACUGUUAUUAACAGUCAUCCCUUGUUCAUUGAAUCCCUAGCUUUUUUUUGGUCUGUGUUGAAUCCCUAGCUUAGCUGUUAGAUUUUAUAUAUCAUAUGUUUAUUAUCGAUCAGAUUAAAAGAAGAUUUAAAUUAUUCAACAAAUCCCAUUGACUAAUAUUUAUUCAGAUUUUCUUUUAAUUAAUAUGUAUUCAGUUUCUGGUCGAUUUACUUCACUAGUUCCAAUUAUUUGAUGUAGCCAGCAUUCUUCGCGAUCAUAGGGUGACUACUAUUAUCUGGUCCAACGUACGUUUAGCUAGAUCCCUUAGAAAAUGUUGCUCUUUGAAAAAUAUGGAGAACACAAAUUAGAGAAGUACUUAAGAAAGAAUUUGAAUUUGAUCGUCCUUGACAAACAUAUAGAACGGUGGGUAUUUUAGGAGUUAAAACCUUGUAAAAAGGGUGAUAGCCAGGUUGAAGAGACUAUAGUAGAGCAGCCCAGUAGAAAUAGGGGUUGCUCUACUUGGCCCCACGUAGAGCAGCUCCACGUGCAAAGUGGACAGCUUGCUUUAGUUUGCUGAGUGUUAGAUUAGGAUGAAAUGGAUCGUUGAGGUCUUAACAUAUGGCAAUUAGGUGUAAGAGAAUUAGAUGAAGUCUUACCUUUUUGACAAGUGUCCUUUUGUCAUUGGAUAAGACCCAUUCAACCGACUUAGAAUGUCAUCUACAACUUUCUAUAUAUAGCUGAUUCCGAUCAGCUCCUUAUUUCUCUCUCCUCAUUUCUUUCUCUCUAGAAUUUACGAUUAAAUUUUGACGAAUCAAAACUUUUAAUCUGUAAGUUUGAUUCAGAAUCCACGAAAAAUUACAGUUUCGUAUCGAUGUCCUUUUUUUAUCUGUUGAGGUUUGAGUUAGAUCCAACAGUGAUUUCUAGAUGACUUAUUUUAGGAGUCUCGGUUUACAAUCGGUAUUCGUGGUAGGGAUUUGUAUUGUUGAGAUGAGUGGAUUUGUGUAAUAUUGUAAUGCCUCAAACUGCACCUCCUCAGUUUAGUCACAUUACAGUGCCACGAGUCUAUAAAUAAAACAAAGAGAAACGUAAGGCAGUUAAUUUAAGAAAAAAUUUAUAAAAAAAAACACAACAGAAGUGUAAAAAUAUUUUAGGGUGUAAAUCUUUAUUUCCUAAAAGUAUUUUCAUCCACCAAAACUUGAUGUAAGGAAUGGUUAAAAAUAAUGAACUCAAAGGAAAUACAAUUUCUUACUAAGAGUAUCAUAAAGAGUAUCAUAAAACAAACUCACAAUAGGAUUUUACUCUUUCACUCGCGUAAAACUUGAUAUAAAAUGCCCAAUAAUUAAUGAACUUCUGGGAAUAGAAUUACGAAUCAGAACAUAACAAAACCAACAAAAAUAGAAUUUGGUACUUGAAACUCCAAUAUAAAAAUAAAGAGAACAUCAUGGAAACCAAAUUACCAAUCAUAAAUAUGCACACCCAACUCCUCGCUAUUAUCCGUUCCAAUGCAUAAUACCUGCAACUAAAACUGUUGUAGGGGUGAACUUUCGUCCUCGCUACUCAAAGAACUUUACCCUUAACUAGGUUUGGAAACCAAUAAAUAAUAUGGGUUGCCCAGUAUGAAAACAUGUUUAAAACAAAUUUAUAAUGAACGACAAACUUGUAGAAAAUAAUUUCAAUAUUAAAUAAAUGAGGCGCUAUAAACUGUACCUGAUGGCCGGUCAUUUUUAGACCCAUUAUCCAACUUACCUCACUAUAUAUAUGUACAACAGGUAAGUGUAGUGAGAGUGUCCACAAACGCCCUAUCGCCUAAAAGCAGUGCCACUCCACAAAGCCUAGAAGCAGUGCCACUCCACAAAGGAUAUAAGACACUCUUCCGUCCAUAAAGGCCCAUAUGGAGGUUUAGGGGAUCGAACCCAAGAUAGUCACUAUGCUCCUCUCACUCUCAAGCCAUAAAUAUCUCAUAACACCGAUUACCAUAUUUUUAUCGGAUAAUCGGAUCAUGCAAUCUCAUAAACAUUUUAUAAAAUAAAAAGAGAAAAUUACAUAAUAACACAUGACCAAAUUUAAAAACACAAAAACCUCACUUUCAACAUUUUCUGUACAAAUUAAAACAUAAGCCUAGACCCAAACUAAUGGUACCAGAUCUGAUCUAGACUUUCACAGGCAAAAUGACUAAAAUACCUAUUUUUCAAAUAAAUUUAAGCAAAAUGACACCGCAGUAGCACAUCUCAUGUCGACACAGCAAUAGCACGUCUCUCGUCGACACGAUAGUAACACCUUCCUACACGGCUGUAGCACGUCUCCGGUCGACACGAUAGUAGCAAGUCUCGGGUCGAUACACGGCAGUAGCACGUCUCCGAUCGACACGACAGUAGCACGUCUCCGGUCGACACAGCAGUAGCACGUCUCAUGUCGACACUGCAGUUGACACGACCCACCCCGAAUUUCACCCUGAAACCCGGAGUAAGUCGUGCGGGGACCACCUCCAAGGAAAAUUUACUGAAAAGAUUGAGAAAAUCUCCCUUGCAGAUGGACAACUCUAACUCGAAAAUUCCAAAUUUCACUCUUAAUUCAACACUUCCCAACAACACAUAAUUAUCCUUCAGAAAUUCUACACAUAAUAUACAAUAAUCCCAAAGUAUUCAGAGCUACUAAACACAAACGGAAGCAAGAAGACACGAAUAGGUUGAACAGGUAACCUACUGAUGAAAACUGGCAGAAAUGCGGGUGACUAUGCCUCGCCUCCUACUAGAUCCAACCCGAACUCUGCAGACCGGGUAAUUUAAAACGAAAGGCCCAGGGGAAAACAUUUAAUAUCGUUAGAGUGAGUGGACAAAAAUAAAAUAAAGGAAAUAAUUCUUUAUGCUUUCCCAAUUUUUACUUUUCCAUAGAAAAGAAAAUAUGCUGCAUGCGACAGCUCAAAACGCUCAACACGAAAACUGGAAUUUCAUGACUGGCUCCGGCCAGUUUCCAACGCUCAAUAAAAUACAGCCUCUCAGGCUAAAAUAAAAUAUGUAUGUAUUACACUCGUCAUAUCCCUUGUAUGAAUUUUCUUGAAACAACUAAAACAAAUAGAAAAUUCACACAAGGCUACAACGCUUGCGUCUAACACUCACGUUGCACCAUAAUGACAUUUUACCUCAUUAUGGUGGAAAAGACGGUGUAUAAAUAUACGCGCAUAUCCCCUAUAUAAAUUAUUAUUUUUAUAUAGGGCUACAACGAUUGCGUCUAACGCUCACGUUGCACCAUAAUGGAAUUUUACCUCAGUAUGGUGGAAAAGCACGUAUAGCUAGCUAGCAUUCUCUCAUAUACAUAUUAUUGUCAUAAUCAUCCACAUAUGGAUAUAUAUAUAUACACUCACCGAAAUUCUCAAUUUCGGUUAUUCUCCAACAACAUAAAUUAUUUCGCACGCACAUUAUUUAAAACAAAAGUCCACUCACAAAUUAGGCCUAAGCCUGAUGUCGAUCUGGGGCCUCGUCAGCUCGAGCCUCCUCACGACCUGUUCCAAAUAUAAUAUUAAGUUCCCAGCCGAAAUUCCAAUAUUUAAUCAAAAUAGGCAAAAUUACCCGAGAGCCAUAAACACGCUCAUUAUUGCCUAACUUCGAUAUUCUUAAAUCGGAACGAUCCGAACUUAAAUAUCAUCCUCGGCAGUCGUAAAUAUAACCUCCCCAAAAAUACGACUUAAAUCGUACGGCCGGAUUCUACAUUAAUUAACCGCCAAAAAUACCAAACUUCGGAAAUUCAUAANNNNNNNNNNNNNNNNNNNNGGUGGCUGGCCGGACGGCGGCAGACGGCGACUGGACGAUCCGGCAGGGGGGGAGAGCACGGGAGAAAGGAGGAAGAGAAAAGAGAGAAGAGAAAAAGAGGAAAUGGGUUGGGCCUCCCAACCGGUCCACCCUUAUCAACCCAACUCAAAAAUAAAAAACACCCAAAAAAUAAUACCCGAAUAAAAAUUACCUUUUACUAGCUAAAAUUUACCAUUUUUACCGUCGUCGGAUUUUUCCUCAUACGAAUAAUCCUCCGCACAUAAUCGUCCCCGAACCCCUCUAGGGACCACUUAAACUAUUAACUCAAUGAUCGAGACGGUAAAAUUCUUAUUAUAAUCACGCUAGUAAAUAAGGUAAAAAUAUAAGGGUCGGGAUGUGACAGCAGUAGCACGUCUCAUGUCGACACGGCAGUAGCACGUCUCCGGUCGACACGGCAGUAGCACGUCUCCGGUCGACACAGUGGUAGCACCUCUCUCAUCGAUACGGUAGUAGCACCUUUCUACGUGGCAGUAGCAUGUCUCUCGUCGACAUGGUCGACAAGGCAGUAGCACGUCUCCAGUCGACACGGUAGUGGCAUGUCUCCAGUCGACACUGCAGUAGCACGUCUCUCGUCGACACGGCAGUAACACGUCUGUGGUCAACACGGCAGUAGCACGUCUCAUGUUGACAUGGCAGUAGCACGUCUCUCGUUUACACGGCAGUAGCACGUCUCAAGUCAACACGACAGUAGCACGUCUUAUGUCGACACGGCAGUAGCAAGUCUCUCGUCAACACUGCAGUAGUACGUCUCUCGUCGACACUGUAGUAGCACGUCUCUCGUCGACACGGUAGUAGCACGUCUCUGGUCGACACGGUAGUAGCACGUCUCUAGUCGACACGGUAGUAGCACCUUCUUACACGGCAAUAACACGUCUCCGGUCGACACGGAAAUAACACGUCUCCGGUUGACACGGCAGUAGCAUGUCUCCGGUCGACACGACAAUAACACGUCUUAUGUCGACACGGCAGUAGCACGUCUCAUGUCGACACGACAAUAACAUAUCUCUCAUCGACACGGCAAUAACACGUCCAUAGUAGCAGUUGACGAUUAGAGUGCAAGAGACGUCGAGAGGAAAUCUAUUGGUGUCGGUGCGUCAUCGUUAGGUGGCCGGACGACAGAGUUAAGAUGGAGGAGUUCUUGGUCGGGGUACUACUUCUUUGGGUUUCGGAAAGAGUCGAGAGAGAGAGAGAGAGAGAGAGAGAGAGAGAGAGAGAGAGNNNNNNNNNNNNNNNNNNNNGAGAGAGAGAGAGAGGCGGUAUGACUGGUUGACCAAAUCAACCUCCUCUUAUAAGUCCAUCACCGACUUGAUCUUAACGGUUGAGAUUAAACGGUUUACAUUCCAACAGUCCAGUUCUCAUCGUAGAUUUAUCUAAUUUUCUAUAUUUUCAAAAUUUCCAAACUUUAUAGAAAACUCGUUGUCUUGCUUACUUUAUUAUCCAACUUUUAGAUAAUGAUUUCACCUUGCAUAAACUUAUGAAGUCUUUCUCAAGCACAUAUCAAAAAUCAAAACUAUCGAGGUCGAUAAGCUAUUUACCAAAUGACCUCAAAUUAAGCUGGUCAAGUUUUUGGGUUAUUACAAAUAUGUUUCAUGCACCGCAUGCGGGGUAUUACAAACAGUCCCUUACUCAUUUUUGGCUAGAAUCUGAAACGAAAAAUCGAGCUUUUCAUUUACCUGACCAAAUCAUUAAGAGCAAGGAAAGGGACCAAAGAUCAAGUUAUUUCCACAUAAAUGGAACUGCCAUUGUUAUAAGACCACCACCUAAAGAAAGUGUAGGAUAAGUUCUGAUGUUUAUAUCAAAAGGAAGACUACUGUACUAAACAGAGCGGGAACCCAUUAGUCUUGCGACUCAAGUUUCAUGGAUGAAAUCCAAAUGGGUCUUUCACUUCCACAACCUCACCUCUCACUACUUCUCCCCCUCCUGGCUUUCUUCUAUCUCCUCUCUUUUCAAGAACCCUAUUUCCGAAACCUCGCCAUUGGUCCUCAACCAUGUCGAUGUAACUCUGCUUCUUUCCUUCUGUGGCAAAAAUCGUCACUUUCAAUUGGGUUCUUCCCUUCAUGCAUCUAUCAUUAAGAACCCUGAACUUUUCGAGCCCGAGAAUCGCAAUGUCGUUGUACUUUGGAACUCUUUGCUUUCCAUGUACUUGAAAUGUGGGCAGUUGUGGGAUGCGGUUAAGGUGUUCGAUGAAAUGCCUGUGAGAGAUACGGUUUCGUGGAACACUGUGAUAUCGGGGUUUUUGAGGAAUGGGGAGCCUGAGACUGGUUUUGGGUACUUCAAGAGGAUGUUGGAGUCAGAUUAUUGUCGAUUUGAUAAAGCUACUUUGACUUGCCUUAUAGCGGGUUUUGAUGGGGUGGAGGGUUGUUACUUGAACAAGAUGAUGCAUGGUUUGGCGGUUUUGAAUGGAUUUGAGCGGGAAACUGCAGUGGGGAAUGCUUUGAUAACAUCUUACUGUAAAUGUGGGUGCUUUGGCUCAGCAAGGCGGGUUUUUGAUGAGAUGUUUGAGAGGAAUGUAAUUACGUGGACUGCAAUGAUUUCGGGCCUUGCACAUUAUGGUUUCUAUGCUGAGAGCUUGAAGUUGUUUGCGGAUAUGCUUGGUGGUGUGGUGGAACCGAAUGCUAUGACGUUUUUGGGCUCACUUAUGGCAUGUUCUGGAUUGCAGGCAAUAAGGGAGGGGCGUCAGAUCCAUGGCCUUGUAUGGAAAUUGGGAGUUCAAUCGGACCUGUGUGUGGAGAGUUCAUUGAUGGACAUGUAUUCAAAAUGUGGUAGUGUGGAAGAUGCAUGGAGAAUCUUUGAGUCCACUAAAGAACUUGAUGAGGUUUCCAUGACUGUUAUCCUUGUGGGAUUUGCACAGAAUGGGUUUGAGACAGAAGCUAUCCAGAUUUUUGUGAAAAUGAUGAGGGCAGGGAUUGAAAUUGACCCAAACAUGGUUUCAGCAGUUCUUGGAGUAUUUGGUGUUGAUACUUCUUUAGGUCUGGGAAAGCAACUACACUCUUUGAUAGUCAAGAAGAAUUUUGGUUAUAAUUCUUUUGUCACCAAUGGGCUAAUAAAUAUGUACUCCAAGUGUGGAGAGCUGGAGGAUUCAGAAAAAGUGUUCACUCAAAUGCCUCAAAGGAAUUCAAUUUCAUGGAAUUCAAUGAUUGCGGCGUUUGCCCGUCAUGGAGAUGGCUCCAAAGCAUUACAACUGUAUGAAAAUAUGCAAAUGGAAGGCGUACAACUGACAGAUGUUACAUUUCUGUCUCUACUUCAUGCUUGUAGCCAUGCUGGCUUGAUUGAAAGGGGCAUGGAAUUUCUGAACUUUAUGAAAGAAGAACAUGGGAUGAGUCCAAGGCCAGAACACUAUGCUUGUGUUGUUGACAUGUUAGGUCGGGCAGGACUUUUAACUGAGGCUAAAUCUUUUAUUGAAGGACUACCUGAAAAUCCUGGGAUACUUGUUUGGCAAGCAUUACUCGGUGCUUGUAGCAUUCAUAAAGAAUCUGAUAUUGGGAAAUAUGCUGCAGAUCAGUUGUUUUUGACAGCACCGCAGUGUCCCGCACCAUAUGUUUUGCUUGCCAAUAUAUAUUCUUUUGAAGGAAGGUGGAAAGAGAGAGCAAAGACUAUUAAGGGGAUGAAGAAGAUGGGAGUGGCAAAAGAAGCGGGUAUUAGUUGGAUUGAAAUCGAAAAGAAAGUUCAGAGCUUUGUUGUUGGUGAUAAAAUGCAUCCACAAGCGGAGAUCAUUUAUAGGCUCUUGGCAGAUUUGCUUAGACUUAUGAAGGAUGAAGGAUACGUACCGGAUGAGAGGUUUUUACUUUAUUACUUGGAUCAAGAUGAAAAGAGAUGAAGGCCAAUCCUUCAAAUUAAACUUGACCAAUUCAAGUACAUUUAUUUGUAGAGACAAAGGGAGCAGGAUUAAGGUGUGUUUAUUCCCACAUUCUACUAAUUUUCUGUGUUUAGUAUAUCUUCAUAAAAGCUGAAUCGUUAAACUUUUGCAUGUGGAUUUGUGAUUUCUUAUACCUUUUGUCUUUUACUCUUUACUCCUAGGAUGAAACAAAAGCUGGUAGACUUCUAGCUGGGUUUUUCAUACAGUUCAUCAUAUCUGGUAGCUAAAACCAAAGCGAAACUGAACAGCAUAGGAUUUAUAUUGACUUCCAUUCUCCCAUAUAAUACAUGCAUUCAGCAGAUAAUAUCUUUACCUUUCGAGUAUUUAUGUGAUCCUUAUGAAAUAUUGGUUCAAAAUUAUAUGUCGCUCUGCUCUCUGAAAGAAGCGCCAGCUAUGGCUGCCAACAAGUUGUGCCUAUAUUAUUAUCAAGGGCCAACCAUUGUUGACUGCCACACCACGGUUUAAUGAUGUGGGUCCUCUGGUACUUGCCAGAAAUAAUAGCACGUCAGCUUGAUACUGUAUACUAAAAGUCAUGCAUGCUUUGCUUCUUUUAGUUUCACAGCUUCAGAAUCGUGUAACAAUCAUGGACAUACAGUGAUAUAUCAUAAUAAAUUUCAGCCAAGUUGAAGUCAUACCUGUCAAUCAACUCUGUUCUGACGGUUCAUCUACCAUAACAACAAUAAGAGUAAAACGUCUUAGGACCUGUUAUAUCUGUAAAGAAUACAGAGCCUUUUUUUUUUCCCUGGAUAUGGAGAAAAAAUGUCAUACAAUCUCAACUAUUGUAUAACAGAAUCUAUACUAUGUUUUUUCUUCAUUUUACUUGUUCUGCCAUCUAAGUCUGCAUUUCUUUGUGAAGAUUCCAGUGAUUGCCUGACUCUGCUCAAAUUCAGGGAGGAGCUAACAAGUGACUCCAAAGAUCAUCUUCAAACUUGGAAUGAAGCCAAUCCCUUGUGCAACUGGACUGGAGUUACAUGCCACCAACGUCUCCAAAACCGGGUUAUAGGUCUUGAGCUCAUAGAUAUGGGGUUACAAGGAAAAAUAUCACCAUUCAUAUCCAAUCUCUCUCUACUUGCCAACUUGUCUUUACAGAUCAAUGGGUUCCAUGGACAAAUUCCAUCUUCCUUUGGAAAACUUACAGAGUUAGCGUUUCUGAAUGCUAGCUCAAACAAGCUUGAAGGUAACAUUCCAGGUUCAUUACAUGGUUGCCGAAGCUUGAAAGUCGUAGACUUGACUUACAACAAUCUAUCUGGUGUCAUUCCUGAAGAACUCGGCUGGAUGAAGAGUCUGGCAUAUUUAGCUCUCUCCGAAAACAGUCUCAGGGGAGUGCUUCCAGCCUCUCUUUCAAACUUGACGGAAUUGACACAACUUGAACUGGCUGUCAACUAUUUUACUGGAAAGAUCCCACCAGAGCUCGGAGCAUUAAGAAAGCUAGAGAUUUUGUAUCUCCAUAUGAACUAUCUCGAAGGCUCGAUACCGGCAGCAAUUGCUAACUGCACUGCUUUACGCGAAAUUUCGCUGAUUGAGAACUUGUUAAGUGGAGAAAUCCCUUCAGCUUUGUUUGCUAAACUCAAGAAUAUGCAGAAAAUGUACAUGUCAAGAAACAAGCUUUCUGGGAAAAUUCCAGGGACCCUCUCCAAUCUUUCACAGCUGAUACUGUUUGAUGUUAGUUUGAAUAAUUUAGAGGGGGAAGUUCCUGGAGGAUUGGGCAUGCUAAAGAACCUAGAGAAUUUCUACUUACAUUCCAACAACUUGUGUGGCGGCUCUGGUAAUUCUUCUCUCAGUUUCUUAACAGCUUUAACUAACUGUUCGUAUCUGCAAAAACUACACUUGGGUUCGUGUUUGUUCACUGGAAAUCUACCAUCUUCUAUAGGAAACCUUUCAAAAGACCUGUAUUACUUGAAUCUUUUUGAUAACCACAUUACAGGAAGUAUGCCAGAAAGUAUCGGAAACUUAAGCGGCCUAGUAACAUUGUACUUGUCAUACAACCGUUUGGUAGGAAGCAUACCAUCUUCCCUUGGCAAGCUUUUGAAUUUGCAGAGGUUAUACUUGGGGAACAACAGAAUUAUUGGGCCCAUGCCAGAUGAGUUAGGGAUGAUGUCUAGCCUUGGUGUACUGGAUUUUGGCAACAAUUCGAUUGGUGGGACGAUUCCUCCUUCACUUGGUAAUCUCUCACAGCUGAGAUAUCUUUACCUGUCCAGAAAUUUCCUAUCGGGAAUGUUUCCAAUUGAGCUUACUCAAUGCUCUCUUAUGAUGCUGCUUGAUCUAUCUUUCAACAAAUUACAAGGCUCUGUUCCUGUAGAGAUUGGCGGCUUUUCAAACCUAGCUCUCUCUCUUAACCUUUCGAACAAUAAGUUCGAAGGACAGUUGCCUGCAAGCAUUGGAAAGCUGGUAUCUGUACAGGCAAUUGACUUGUCUGAGAACAAGUUUUCUGGUUUGAUACCUACCUUGAUUGGAAGCUGCAUUUCUUUGGCCUAUCUAAACAUGUCCAACAAUAUGUUUGAGGGGACUAUUCCAGAUUCGUUGAGUUUGAUCACUCAUCUUGAAGUUUUGGACUUGGCUCGUAAUGAAUUAAAUGGCACCCUUCCGAAAUGGAUUGCUGAAAACCAGAUGAUCAGGAAUCUUAAUUUAUCUUACAAUAGGCUAUCAGGAGAAGUUCCAGAUACUGGAAGGAGAAAUAUUUUUAAUAGAAGCUCAUUGUUGGGGAAUGUCGGGUUGUGUGGUGGUUCUGCACUACUUGGUCUUCCGCCAUGUGAAGUUCAAAAGAGAAAACAUAAGAUAAGAAAAUCGAUAAUUUACUCUUUGGUUGCUGCAGUUGCGUUUGUCUGUGUGCUGGUGGCUGUUUUCGUUUAUUGUUUCUUCUUCUCCUUCAGAAAGCGGGAUUCAAAAGCAGAAGACAGAAUGGUAACAGUAAUGGGAUCACCAAGCCAUCAUGGAAGGCGCACUUUCACCCAAAGGGAACUUGAACUUGCAACAGGUGAGUUCAGUGAAGCUCAUCUGUUGGGUAGAGGAACCUUCGGAUCAGUCUAUAAGGCAAUUGUUGAUGAUGGUGAAACUAUUAUGGCAGUGAAGGUUCUGCAUGGUGACGGUAUUCAGAGUUACAAAAGCUUUAAGAGGGAAUGUCAAAUCAUGUCCGAAAUUAAGCACCGGAAUCUUGUUAGAAUGUUAGGAUAUACCUGGAGUACACAGUUCAAGGCUCUAAUUCUUGAAUACAUAGGAAAUGGUAACUUGGCAGAGCAUCUUUAUCCUGGCGGACUAGAGGAAGGAACAUGUGAACUAUCGUUGAGGGAAAGAAUAUCAAUAGCCAUAGAUGUUGCCAAUGGCUUGGAGUAUCUUCAAGAAGGUUGUCGAGUCCAAAUUCUACACUGUGACUUAAAACCAGAGAAUGUGCUUAUUGACAAUGAUAUGGUAGCUCAUGUAGCAGAUUUUGGGAUUGGAAAGCUCAUAUCAGCUGAUAAACCCAAGGAACUACAUGUUAGCACAACGCAUUUUCUACGAGGAUCAAUUGGGUACAUUCCCCCAGGUAUGCAGAAUCUCACAUCACUAAUUUAGUAAUUUCCCAUUUAUACACCAACAUUUGGUUGGUAUUUAACAGAUAUUACUUGCAUUACAGAAUAUGCGCAAGGGAUUGAGGUUUCAGCUAAAGGAGAUGUCUAUAGCUUUGGUGUGAUGGUGCUCGAGUUGAUAACAAGAAAAAGACCGACAAGCAAUAUGUUUCGAGAUGAGGUUGAUCUAAGGAAGUGGGUGCAUUCUUCGUACCCAGACCAUGUUUUGGAUGUUGUUGACAGCACGCUAAAGGAGAUAAAAAGCACAGAUGGUGCUUUGGAUGAGCUUGAGCGAUGCUGCAUUCAGAUGCUUGAGGUAGGGUUGAGGUGCACAGAAGAUACUCCACAUAAAAGACCCUCCAUGUCUUUUGUUGUGCAGAAGUUGACACAGUGCCUAGAAAGCUGGAGAGACCUGGAGACCUGGAGAGAUGGAGAGAUGGUGAAACUUCUGCAUCCACAAAUGUUGGAAUAGAGUUUUACAAUUCUGGUAUAUUAUCGAGUCUAUACUCUUAAGUCUAAUUAUUGUCAGCCUUUUUUCUUAUCAUGUAGAAAAAUUGUAACAUAAACUAUGUAGGGGGAAGAAUCACCAUUUCAGUGGUCACUUUUUACUGCUUGAUUAUGCUUGGUACUUAAUAUUGGUUCAGAUUUCUUAAGAGGCUCUGUUAAGAAGCGUCAGCUAUGGCUGCCAACAAGCACACCCUAAAUUAUUAUCAUGGAUGAUACUACCAUGCACUUGCUAAUCUAAGGGCAUGCACACCUAGAAAUAGUAACAAGUCGGCUUUGGUAUACUACAAGAGUACAAGUCACAAGUCCGCCAUUGCUGCUCCUUAAUGUCGCAGCUCUAGAAUCCUCAGCUUGAAUUCUAGAAGCUAGCUUUAAUUAUCAAACCAAUAUUAUUUACCAUUUAUGUCAAUAAUACCAAAACUUUGAAGAUAGAAGCCAGAGAAAGAAUGGCAUACAGUCUCAUUCCGGAAACAUAUGUUUCCCUGACCGUGUUUGGGAUGUCGUUGACAGAAGGUUAAUGGAGAUACAAAGCACACAUCGUGCUUUGGAUGAGCUUGAGAAAUGCUGCAUUGAAUUGCUUGAUGUAGGGUUGAUGUGCAGUAUUGUGCACAGAAGAGAAUCCACAAAAAAGACCUGCUACGUCUUUUGUUGUGCAGAAGUUGAAACAGUUUUUGGAAUGCUCCAAUAAACUUUGAGACUUGAAGAGAUGAUAUAACUUCUACAUUCAUAAAAGUAGGUCCUGUGUUUUAAUGAUUGCAUUCUCAAGCAUGUUACCAUAUUAACGUAAUAGUUUCUCAGUAAAAAGGAGAAUUGUAACACAGUUUUCAGUGAUAUAAUACAGUUUACUAUCUUUACUGAAGAACUGAAGAUAAUCUUACAAAAAAAAAAAAAAAAAAAAAAAAAACCCUCCUAUCGAUAAUAUUGCACAAAACCUAUUAUAAUGUAGGAUACCUGCUGCAAAGAACAGUAAUCAAGUCUAUUUUGAAAUGAUCCUCAUAAAUCGGUUCAUUGAAGAGAACAUCCCUGCUGCCCUAUCAAACAAAGAUGGGCCCUGCUCUGAAUCCUCUUGCAUAUUUCCAAAUAUCAUCUAGAAAAAAAAAUCAAAUUAAACCCAUGAUCUUCUUGUUUGUGCACAUUUUGUAAAAGUUCAACUGUUAGCAACUGACCUCAAGGUCUUCAGCAUCAGGACGGCGCAAAAGCUCUUUGGCAAGCAGAUAUCUGUUUGGUCUCUCCUUGUCAUCAAAGAAUACCUUCCAUGACCUGGUAAAUGACCAAGGAAAAUACCAUGGCAACAAGAGGAAGUUAGGUCUUUUAACUGGAUAGUAUGCGAUGGAGUGCUAAGAAACCAUAGAUCAAAGGACCAUCAAAAUGUUAAGAAUUCAAUAAGAUGUUUUAAAUCCCUUACCCUGGAUAGCACCUAAAUACAGCCCCGGAUUCCAUAGGCCUCAUUGAGUAGACUGUCGUAAAAGUGCUGCAUGGAAAUUGGACGAGGAAAAGUUACAAAGAAGAACGAACAGAAGGGAUGAGCAGGUAGCUACUGAGGUAAAUAAAAGAGAAUUUCAGCAGGGACAUAGCACCCUUAGCAGUGAAACAUCUAAACUGAAAAAGAUACAGAAAAGCACAUAUCAAUGUAGAUCAAGAAGUAUACCUCAAAAAGUACCGCCUUAACUUUCGUACAUUAAAUCCAACUCCAACAUCCUCACUGAUGAGACGUGGGUUCCACAUGAUUAGAGGCCUUGGCUGCAAACUUAACAAUAUUAGGAAAUAUAUCUUGCCACUUUCAGAAUGCACUAGAGAACAACCAAAUGAUCCAAAAAGAGUAAUAGCCAUCAUAUGGAAUGUUCCAACUUGAUGCUUUUAUGGAAUUUAUUUUUUGAGCUAUUAUUUACCGGAUCAUCUAACAAACUGGAUGCAAGUCUCUCUACAUAUUCCAACAUCUGAUAAUCAGGUACAAUCAUAACCACAAUCUCAUCUUCACUUGUUAUGGGCUUCCGGUCACUUAAGCUGAAUGUAACGAGCCAGAAGAUUGUAUAAGAAUGAGGUACAAGUGUUUAUUUAUGAAUUCCCAGAUGAAAAGAUAUAAGCAUACAGUUCACAAAACAAAUUUAAGAGCAUUUAAUUUAGCAAACAUGAUUAACAUAUGGCAUGCUGUGCCAUAUUUCAAAAAAGUAUUACUAGCCAAAGUGAACCUAGACUGGUAUGGUAUAAAUUACCUGGCGAAUCCAAAAGCAGCAUCUGUCCACCGAUAUUUUAGAAGAGCUGCUGCUCCAGCAUCAGGAAAUACAGCUUUAACUCUCUUGCAAAUAAAUUCGUAUAACUUAUCAAAAGAUGUUAUAUAAUGAGAGAAGUAAACUAUAGUACAUUUAAGCAGUUUGGAAACCAUAUUCACUUCAUUAACAAGUUGCUUUCAUUGGAAGUGGUAUAAUGAUAUAUGCAGGCAGUAAGCAUCAUAGCUAAGAGGUAUACAUAUGUAUGAAAUCGCCCUAUCAUAAGUAGAGUAAUAUAUGAUAUACUACAGUUCACUAACUAAAUAAACAUUUAACAACUAACCUCACAUCCAGUUUCCUCUAUAAGUGUAUCCAAGAAAACCCUUGAUAACUCCCAGAGCUCAGCUUGUGCCCCUUCUUCAUCUAGAAACUGCAGCUGGGGAAUUAAAAGUUCAACCUGCAAAAAGAUAAUGAGUUUAUAAACAAGUUAGGCAGACAAGGAACUGAAAUGGAUGAUGUGCUCGAGAAGUAAAUCAAUUAAUGCACGCAACCUCCCUGUGGACAUUAUCCUCUAUCAAGCUAAAAUUUAUUUAUUUAUUUACUGAACAUUCUCUCAGGAUAAGUUUUAGCCUUAUCACCAAAAAAUACGUUUUAGUUUUAUCAGUUAUGAGAAAGAAGGGCAUAAACUAGGGAUGUUACUAUUUCUUUUGAACUUAACUAAGCCAGUUUUACACUUUCCCUAAGACAUCUUCAGCUAUUUUGCACAUAUACAUGGAAGAAAAGGCUAUUUCGGUAAACUAAUGAAUAGCCAGAAGCAGAACUGACACUCCUAUAACCAUAAUUCCAAGUACUAUACUCAAGUUAGCUAGUCUUCCUUCUGAUGUUUAUAGAUCUUAAGAUCACUAUAGAGCUUCUCUCCAAAUUCACAUAGUUGAAUUAUCUUUUCAUUGUCUGAUUAUACACAUAGUACCACUUUGCCAUUAAUCACAUGAAAAUUCCUACAUGAAUGAAUAACAUAACAUAUUCUUAUGGCACGUACUAUGGCUCUCAUUCCUCCUGAAGAAACAAAUGACGCACUUGCUUCACCCGAUUGACGGACUGCACCCUCCAAGUCAGAAGGCAAGCAGCUGAAUCAUAAACGAAUUACAUCAAUACCUUCCUUUCACUCCACCAUACACUUCAAACAACAUUUAAAUGCAAGAAUAUUACAUCCUACUUCAAUCUCAAUCCACAUAAUACUGCUCAUAACAUGCACAACUACGCAUUCAAAAUAUUGCUGUACAUACCACAGCAAGCUAACCCCCUGAACAUGCUAAACCCAAAUUCUCUAAAUCUAACUUAGCCAGUCAAAUCCUCAAAAAUCAAAGGAAAGUAAUAGAAAGCAGACUCUAGCUCUGGUACAUAAACUUGAGCUUCCACAAAGUAUCUGACCAGUAUAGUCUCCUCAGUUAAGAAAUCACUACCCAUUACUGUUCUUCUGCCUACUUCAUCUCAGUCAAAUACAAAAAUGCAUAAGCAACACAACUCAAUGAAUCCAUUCACUAAAUUUCAUCCUAACAACCUCUAAUUCACCAUCCAAACACAAAUGGCUAUCACCAUUCUCCUCUACAUCUUCAUCAUUUACCUCCAGCUAUGUCCAAUAAUACAUCAUGCACAUCAUGACAUUAAAACAUCAAAACAUGAAGCAAAGCUGUAGAAUUUACAAAACCCAAAAGCAAGAAACAAAAACACAAUCAAAACCAACAAAGGAACAACCUUUACUAACCUGUCAUCUUCUUCCUGCACACCAUCUUCUUCAACCUCUGGUAAGGAUGGUGUUGUGUUGGUUUCUUCAAGCUCAUCCUCAGCUUGAAACUUCUCAAACUUGGCACAUAUUCUUGACCCACUACUAAACCAAGCCUUAGUCACUGAAACUCCAUUGCACCCAUUAAAGCUAGACCCAGAAAACCUCAAGGGCAAGCGUGUGGCUGAUGUUGAAGAACUGGAGCUCAAGUUAAACAACGAGCUUGGGUAUGUGGAUGAAGCCAUGAUUGAACUUAGCCCACUGGUAACUGAUAAUACCAGAGAAACAGAAAAAAGAAACCAAAAACGACACGUCGUGUAUAUCAUGGGCCGGGUGGGUCGGGUUGAGAAACUGGGCCGGUUCCCGAAUCUUUUUUCGAUAGCCGUUAGAGAGGAGGAGCUGCUUGAUAUGUAAUCGGACGGCUGUGAUUCACUCAAAUUCAAAAUUAAAUCCAAAUUAAAACCCUACCCCCUCUUUUCCCCCAAAUCAAAUUCGCAACUCUCUUUCUCUCUCUUCUCUCGGAAACUCUCUCUCUCUCUCUCUCUGAAACUCUCUCUUUCUCUCUCUAGAAUUCACCGAAUCACAAUCUUGCUCUUGAAGCGAUGACUGGUAGUCCUCUCUUUCUCUCUCUCUCUAGAUUUUCUUGAUUUUGAUUUGGUUUUUAAACGACGACGUUUUGAUUGACGCUUUGUUUUUCAGAUCUAGUGGCGGAAAUGUUCCCGGAAAUCUGCGACGGCGCUACACCGGGUCACGAUUCGGAGCCUUCUGAAACCUCCGAAACAGGUUCGGUUCCUUUACGCGAUUCAGUUUUCGUUUUUUUUUGGUUUUGGAUUUUUGAAUUUGCAAGAAAAUGUUGAGUUUGAGGUUCUGGUGCGUUGUUACUGCGAUCUUGAGUUCAAGAAGAUGUGGAAUUGGGGGAAAUUUCUGAUUGAAUUUGAUUUUUUGGUUGCAGUGCAAACCCUAGUGACUGUGAAGAGCGAGGUGGAUGGUGAUGUCAGUGACAAAGGUGUGUGUUCCCUUUUUGAAUUUCCAUCAUCUGUUACUGUUACGAUUUCGAUUUCGAUUUCGAUUUUGUGUUUCGAGUCAAGAAAAUGUAGAAUUGGGGGAACUAUCUGAUUUAAUUCAACUUUAUUCUUGUAGUUCAAACCCUAGAGACUGUGACAGACGAUUUGGACAGUGAUGUCACUGGUAAAGGUGCGUUAUUCUACUAUUAUUGGGGUUUUUAAAUUUUCAUCAAUUUGUUUACGAAAUUAUUGGAAGUAUUUGCUUUAGUCUUGUUUGUUGCUGGGAAAAUUGAAACUCUGGGUUUUGAAUCCUAUUCUCUAUGUUCUCUUGGCUUACAGGUAGUGAUGAAUUAGAGUUGGGUCUAAUUAGUUUUUUGUUAGAUAUGAGCUGAGGUUAAUGACCUUAGUCUACAUAACCAGUUUAACAUUUCUCAGUAACUAGAUAGCAACACACUUUUCCAAACAACACAUGUUGGUCUCUUUUGCAAGGCAGAUACUUAUUGCUUCUGUAACAUGACUGUUGAUUGUUAAAGUUUCAGAUGAUGCUGCAGAACAAGUUGUGGGAGUUUCUGAUUUGAUUGAGGAGAGUGGUGUGUCAAAUGAAACUGAAGAACAUUCCCCAUUUCAAGGGGAGACCCUUCCAAUUCUGCAGAAGAUCAUUGAUUUGAGUGCCAAAAUUAAGGUGAAUUUUCAAUUUUAUUUUUGCAUAUCCUUUUGUUUUAGAAACGAAGAUCAUUGACUGAGAGAGGGUACAGUGUGGCUCAUUGCCUGCAUUGAAUGAUUUUUCCUUUUCUCCAUUAUGGCUGCCAAUCUAAUUUCAUCCUUUUUAUUGCACUUCUAUGUUUAGGACUUGAAAAAAGAUCAUACUGUAUUGUCUGAUGAAGUCAAGCAAACGACGAGUUCUUUUCCAGACCCUGAAGUUUUGAAAACUCUUCAGAUGCUAAGUAAGUCUCUAGAAUGAACUGAUUUAUGUUCCAUCUUUCCUUGUUUCUUUCAUUCUUUGAUUGUAAUUGGUUGUUGCUUCUGGUGCUCUAGGUACUGAACAUGAACUUCUGAAGAAGAAGUACCUUGCUGAGUCCUCUGAACGGAAGCGACUAUACAAUGAAGUGAUUGAGCUUAAAGGCAAUAUCAGGGUUUUCUGCAGAUGUAGACCUUUGAACCAAAAUGAAAUUUCAAAUGGAUAUAAUUCCGUUAUUGAGUUCGACUCCUCCUUAGAUAAUGAGCUGCAGGUCCUUUCCUCUGAUUCUUCAAAAAAGCAGUUCAAGUUUGACCAUGUGUUCAGACCCAAGGAUGACCAAGGUAUUUGAGAAAUCGUACUGAUUUUAUUAUUUGUACAGGCUAAUUCUUUAUAGAUGACUUUUUUUUACAAUGAAUAAUUGCUAGACAGAUUUUGUGUCACUGAUUCUGAAUUUUACUAAUAUGCAGAGGCUGUUUUCGCUCAAACUAAACCUAUUGUCACCUCAGUGUUGGAUGGGUUUAAUGUGUGCAUAUUUGCCUAUGGACAAACUGGAACUGGUAAGACCUUUACAAUGGAGGGAACUCCUGAAAAUAGGGGUGUCAACUACAGAACUCUAGAGGAGUUGUUUCGGCUUUCAGAAGACAGAUGUGGUUCCAUGCGAUAUGACUUAUCAGUUAGCAUGCUUGAAGUUUAUAAUGAGAAGAUAAGGGACCUUUUGGUAGAUAACACCCACCAACCCACGAAGAAGUGAGUUUUCUUCUGCUUACAUCAUAACUGAAUACCUUGCUAUUUUGCAUUUAGUAAACUGUUGAUUAGAAUCAUGUUGGGAUCUUGUUAGCAUGCUUGAAGAACCAAAUAGCUAUUGCUUUGUUAAAUGAACAAUAUGUGUGAAACACAGAAUAGUCACAAGAUACACUGAUGGUUGAUAUGGUUGCAAUUAGCAGAAAAAAAAUACUAAUAGGGAAAUAAUAGCAGUGUUACUAUUUUUAUCAAAGAUGCAAUGUUGGAACUUGGAAGGAGUAGUAAUCUUUUAUUUGUAGAGUUGUACUUAUUUUGUGUUAUUGAACAAAGGUUGGAAAUCAAGCAAGCUGCAGACGGAACCCUAGAUGUGCCAGGACUUGUUGAACCUCACGUGAAUGGGUUUGAGGAGAUGUGGGAAUUUCUGAAGUCUGGAAGCCGCUCCAGAUCUGUUGGAUCAACCAGUGCUAAUGAGCUGAGCAGCCGGUCUCACUGGUACUUUUCCUGCUACUUAAAAAUUUGGCUUUUUGUCUGCAAAUGUAUUGAGAUGGGCCAUGAAAAUAUAAUGCAAAAUGGAAUCUUUCACACCAUGAAUAUCAUAAGUAUGUGGUAACCUAAUUUCCAUUUUUUUCUUUGCUGUAGCUUGUUGAGAGUGACUGUUAAGGGGGAGAACUUGAUAAGUGGGCACAGGACUCGGAGUCAACUGUGGCUAGUAGACUUGGCUGGUAGUGAGCGUGUGGGGAGGAUUGAGGUUGAAGGGGAAAGACUGAAGGAAUCUCAGUUUAUAAAUAAAUCUCUCUCGGCCCUUGGAGAUGUAAUCUCAUCCCUUGCUUCCAAAACAGCCCAUAUUCCUUACAGGAAUUCAAAGCUCACUCAUAUGCUGCAGAGCUCUCUAGGUAUGCCUUUAUUGUAGGUUUUACUUGAUUGUCUGGCUUUUAAAUUUUUCUUCAUCCACAAUGUUAAUGAAACUUGAACUGCAGGAGGAGAUUGCAAAACAUUGAUGUUUGUCCAGAUCAGCCCAAGUUCCGCAGAUUUAGGAGAAACACUAUGUUCUUUGAAUUUUGCCAGCCGAGUCCGAGGAGUUGAGAGUGGCCCAAUUCGCAAACAAGCAGACCUCACAGAGCUGCUCAAGUACAAGCAAUUGGCAGAAAAAGCUAAACAUGACGAGAAGGAGACAAAGAAACUACAGGAUGGUUUAUCGGCUGCGCAGUUAAGGCUAGCUGCAAGAGAACACAUGUGCAGAAAUCUUCAAGAAAAGGUAACCUAUUAUGAUAGAGGAAGUUGAUUUCUUGAAUUUCUUCUCUAGAAUUUUAAUCACUUCAUUCAUAAUUUAACUACUGAAUUUCCAUAGGUCCGAGACCUUGAGAACCAAUUGGCAGAGGAAAGGAAGACUAGACUGAAACAGGAAAGUAGAGCUUUGGCUACUUCAUCAUCAACAUCAUCCUGGAAACAAGGAGCACAGAAGGCUGUUGCAGAGAAGAAGCCACCAUUGGCUCCCAACAAAUCAAGGCUUCCCCUGAGAAGAAUUGGCAAUUUAUUGCCCCAGCCAUCUGCUUUUCCUCCCAAAAAGGACAGCUACUCGACUUCUGCUGUUCCACCUCCAAUGGAUGGCAAAGAAAACGUCUCAACAACAUCAGGGGCCACAAGAAACACCGGCCGCCUUAUUUUACCAAAACGUAUGUCCAUUGCUGUGAGGCCUCCUCCAACAACAACCACCACAACAGCACAGCAGGUUCGUAAGCCUAAGAGACAUUCCAUUGCUACUCUUCCUAACUUUAGGCCCGAGCCAAACUCUUACAUGGCUACUCCCCUCAACAACAACACCUCUGCCUCUCGGUUCAAUAAUGGGAGGCCCUCAUUUCUGCCGCGAAAGAGAUAUUCAAGAUUGUUCUCUCCAAUGCCUGAUUUUAAGUCAGCAGCAGAGACAACCCCUACUGCCAUGAGGAGCAGUAGUAAGUUCAUGUGCAGCCCCCCAGCACAGCAGGCUAGUUCAUUCAAAUCAAGGCUUCCCACAGCCAUUGCAUUGCAGCGAAAACCAGUAAUUUGGAGUCCGCUAAAGUUCUUGAAGAACAGGAGGCCGUCACUGGCUCUGCCCUCUAGAGUGGAGAUGUAGUGAAUAAAGUUGUUUGCUGUCACAUUGUCUAUAUUGUCGAAAACCUUGAAACAGUAAUCCUUUUCUUUUCUGGAUCUUCUGGUUACCUUAUAAUUUUUGUGAUAGUACUCGAAAAUGUAUGCUUCUUGCCUACCAUUGAUUGAUUCAAUAUGGAAAUCCUUCAUUGUUUUUGUUUCCCUCCCACUCAUCCAAGCAUGCUUCUUAUUAUAACAUUAUCUUUGUGUCGAAUGAAAAGAAACCCAGAAAGGCAACAAACGCCACAAAUCAAGGUCUCUCCCUUUGUCUUCAAAUCUCAAUCUCACAUUUAGUAGAGAGAUAGAGUAGAGAGAGAGAGAGAGAGAGACCCACUUCAACUUUGUGCUUCUCUUCUAUUAUACCCAAAUCAAAAUGGUUGCUAAAACCCCACCAAAGCAAAGAAAGAUGGUAGCCCCUCUCAAUCCAGCUCUGCUUAGAGAAACAGUGAAGAAGGUGAGCUAGAUUUCUUUCAUUUCUUGGUGGGAUUUGGAAGUCUGUGAUAAAAUUUUAUGUGUUUGGUAUAAUGGGUGUGUGUUAUUUUUUUGGGUUUGUGAAGGUGGAUAGGUGUAUGGCUAGGUUGCAGGAGCUGCAGUAUACAGUGACGGGUGGGACGAAGGUGAUAUCGGGAGUGAGUCUCAGCCCGAGAAGUACUAGAGGUUAUAUGAGGACUAGUCUCAGAUGUAAACAAGAAUCUGCAAGGUAAAGGUUUAAGCUUUUGAUUUUGAGUUUUGAGUUUUUGGUGUAAACAAGAAUCUGCAAGGUUGGUUUUUGGUGAUUUUUGAUGUGGGCAUUGAAAUGGAUCUUUUUCUUUGUGAAGGAUAAAAGGUUUGACGCCGAGGAAAUCUCCGGUGGGCAAGUUUCCGGCAGGGAAGUCUCCAGCAAAGUCAGCAGGUAACAUUCUCUUCUGAAAUCACUAAUUGGGUCAAACAGGUUUUGUGGUUCAUUUCUUUGUUUCAGUAUCUGGUUACUUAAGUUGUGUUUGUACCAUUGGUCACUUCAAAUUUGAGUUUUGAUUGUGUUCAAACUUGAAACUUGAAACUUGAAACUUGUCACUGGAAAACAGAUAGAGAAAAGGUUUGUUAAAAUGGGCUUAUGAGAUUUAUAUUUUGGUGCUUCAUUUCUUGAUUUCAGUAGUUGGUUACUUCAAUCAGGCAUUCUAUUACUUGGUUCAUAUUCAAAACAGGAAAUCUAUUACUUAUAGACCAAAUUUGAGCAACAUUUUGAGAAAUGCCUGAAAUUUUCAUUGUUAUGUUCAGGGGAAUGGCAGAGAAUGUCACUGCCGGCAAUGCUGCUCAGCGAAACAGUCGGAGAAAUUCUUCAGUCUAGUCAAUUUGCUAGGGAAAUAGUAGCAUCAGUUCCCAAGAAAACCACCAUAGAAGACCCCAAAACCCCAAUGUCCCAACAGAGGAAACAGAGACCACCCCCUGAAAACACAGAGCUCAUGGCCAGAAGAAAGAGGGAGAAGCACAACAAAGCUCAAUUGAACCGAUCAGAAUCACGCUCACCGGUUCUCCAAAGAGCCCGGUCUCGAAUCAACUUCAAGGUUUCGCCUCCUAAGAAGAGAGAGAUAGAGAAAGAGAACACCAGAUACUUGGCAAACAGAGUGUCUCCCAAAAACAGACCAUGGGCUAAAAAGAGUGUAUUGUUUCCCAACCCUUUGUUUUUGGCUACAGAUACUUCACCAACUCAAAACAAGUUUUGUAGAACAAGGUCACCAAUGAUCGGAAGAAGUAGUACUAGUAAUACUAAGCCACACACUCAGCAGAUUCAGACUCCACACAAGUUUUUGAUCAAGUCUCCAGCUUCGGCUUCAAAGUUCCAGGUCAAGAUUAAGAGCCCUCCAUUGAUUUCUUCUCUUUCGCCAACUAAGGCCAAGAAGUCUCCGAAGAAAUCUGCUGUGUCGAAACUGCGGCGGUCAUUUUCUCCGUCCAGAUUGGCUACUAGAUUGGUGUCUCUGUCUCCAUUGAAGAGUAGGAAGAGUGUGCAGAAGAGUGAGGUUGUAAUAAUGCCGGGUUUGAAACAGCGUCCAACUUCCUCAAUGCCACUGGGAAUUUCAGCUCGGAGGAAUUAAACAUGUUUGAGAUUACAUACUCGUAUGGAUUGGUUUGGAACUUUGGAUUGUAUGAUUGUUUGAGAUAUAUUUUCUCGAUGUCAAUAGUUUCAUUGAUUAUGGGUGAUGUGAAUUUGUUCAUGUAUAAGGUUGAGAAAAGUUCAAUAAUUAACUCAAUAGAACUACUUCAUAAACUUUGAAAUAUAACGUUUGAGAUUACAUACUCGUAUGGAUUGGUUUGGAACUUUGGAUUGUAUGAUUGUUUGAGAUAUAUUUUCUCGAUGUCAAUAGUUUCAUUGAUUAUGGGUGAUGUGAAUUUGUUCAUGUAUAAGGUUGAGAAAAGUUCAAUAAUUAACUCAAUAGAACUACUUCAUAAACUUUGAAAUAUAACUUCUUUGUUUGAACUAUCUAUGCCAUUCUUCUCUCUUUUUUCAUCUGUGUUGGGUUCUUGGAUCAUAUAAUUACUUGUUUAUAAAUUAGCAAAUUUGUUUGAGAAAAUGCACCCAUAAAUAAUCAAGGUCAGUUGAUAUCGGGUCGGCGACACUUCACAAUGGUGUGGUACAUCAUGUAGUGUCGAGGCUCGGCUACUUGGAGAGUUGGAGGCCUGUGGCGGCUGGUGUUAGAUGACCUUAGCAAUAUCAAUUGAGCUUUUUUGUUGUCAUGUAGUUUCACUGAAUUAUAAAAUAACUAACGGUAGUUUAAUAUUAUUUGGUUUAGUGACAUCGUUUCUUUUUUAGUAAGUGGAAGGUUAUGAGUUCGAUUCACGCAGUUGUAAUUUACCUGAUCAAAAAAAAUAAAUAAUGGUAGAUUAAUAAUGCAACAUUAUCGAUUAAUCUUUCUCUGUAAGGUUAAGGUGUGUUAAUGUAUGUGAUACAUCAACUUUGCCCUCAAGUUGUAAACUAAGUCCUCAAAGUGGUAAUAUUAGUCCUCAAAGUUGUAAUAUGAGUUGUUAAAGUUGUAAAACUUUAACUUAAAGACACAUGAUUAUUAAUGUUAUAACUAGAAAAUUUUACAAGUUUAAGGACUCAUAUACAACUUUGAGGACUAAUAUUACUAGUUUGAGGACUCAAUUUACAAAGUUGAUGCAUCACAUCAUUCACAUGCAUUAACACAUUGUAGAAUUGAUUAGCUCAUCGAUGCGACCACUGGCCAUGAACUACUUAGCAUACUGAAUGCUUAUUCUAGAUCUAAAUACAAUCAAAUCAUAACGGACCCUGACAACCAAGAAGCAAACACAUUCGUAACCGAUCAUGGUCUAUUUGUUAUAGGUCAUGUUGUUCAGACUUAAGAACAUAGUGGCCACCUAUCAACGCCUAAUGAACAAGAUGUUCGGUGAUCAUAUUGGCAAAAUCAUCGAGUUUUUUUUUAUUCUAAUCAUUGAGGUUUAUGUCGAUGACAUGCUCGUCAAGAGCUUCAAAUCUGGAGAUCACAUUCGAAAUCGGAUGAUCUUGAUUUCACUCUUGGGAGAACUAAAACCAGGUAAUAGGAAUCUAUUCUCGGCUGAAUGUUGGUUCUCGGAGGCUUCUUGUUGUUUUUGGUCGUGUUCAAGGACUCAUCUUAGUGUUGCAGAUAGAGAUAGCCUUGAGAGGAUGAAAUGGGAGAGUUUAACUUCAAUGUCCUGGGUGUUUAAGUCAGUUAGAAGUACAACAAUUAGGCCAGAAAAAACCUCAAAAUUUUGAUAGCGUAUUGCAUGUGCCUCAAACCCUUGUUUGCAAAGAUGAACGAGGUGCGCAACAAUACCCAAAUAAUUUUGAUUGGAGAGAUGCAAGUUUUUUUUUGGUAUAUUUUUAACCAAAUGAGUUAGUCCUCUAUGUACAGCAGUGCUAAUACCUAUAUUGAUUAUGGUGUGUGUGUGUGUGACCCGUGAAGGUGUAGUCACUAAGAUGUGAACUUUGAUUAUGUGAAAGCAUAAAUCACUAACGAUUUGUUGAUGACGCCCAUGAUAUCUGGCUUAUGAUCAAUUCAUCCAUGCAAUCUUAACUAAAAGUUUAUAUAGUGAAAGUCAUACCGCAAAUCUGCGUGUUGGGAUAUGUCAAUAUAAUAAUAUAAGCAAUCAAAUCUUUUAGUUGGUACACGGUACGGAACUUAAAACCUUCAUACUGACAUGCAAUUGUGUACUGGAAAAUAUAAGUUAUCUCUGAACGUUGAGCUAUGUUUAAAUUUGUUUUUGACAUGGGUAAAUGCUCAAGUGCUGGAUUUUCUCAUUUGUUGUUAUCAAUGAAGUAGAAAAUCAGUCAAAUAACUUACACAAUGUGAGAACAUAUGCAUUUGGUUAAAAGAAGAGACAACACAAAAUUAUAUGGGCUUUUUGAUAUUGUAAUUGUUUUUUAGGGUAUUGUUGUCUAAUUCAUUCUACUUUGGUUAGAUCUUAAUGAUUAACAUGAUUCACAUGCAACAUGCAUGCCCGUUUCACAAACUCUGAAAGACGAAAAGAUGUGUGGCAUAUCAUUUUUUCUCCAAUGAUUUUUUUUUUUUAAGAACAAAUAACAACUCAAUAGUUAAAAACCAGUUUUCGUCAAAACAUGUGCAAAACUAUUGUCAAAUGUUGUUGAUGUUCCUCUAAUUGUCAAUGAGACGACAGACCCUAAAUAGAAGUGUCAAUUUCAUAAUUAUUUGAAACAAACAACUCAAAUGAGCUUGAUGCCCAUGGUGAGUUUGACGAUGUCCAUGAUAAUCUUGAGGAGACCUACGCAGAGGAGGUUGUCGAGCAGGAGGAUAUGCUUGCCGAGGAUGUUGAGGUGUUUGAGGAUACGCUUGCUGAGGAUGUUGAGGUGCUUGAGGAUACGCUUGCCGAGGGUGUUGAGGUGCUUGAGGAUAAGCUUGCCGAGGAUGUUACCAAGCUACGGGAGACCCACAUAAGGAGGCACAUUUGAGCCUUUGGCAAAUGCCUAGAGAUUGAAGAUCAUAUGUGUUCCUCUUUGUUUCCUUGUGUUGCAUCAAGUCCAUAUUCAUGGUAAAAGACAAUGGAUUAGUAUCACACCGAUAAUUAUGUGAAAUGACAACUUUACUAUUGAUAGGAGCAUUUUUAUGCUACGUUAUCAUUAUUUAACCCUAUACUUUUCUUUGUUAUUUUGUGUUAUUCUUAGAUAAUGUAUUUGUUUGUGUGUUUAUUAGGGUGUCCAAAGCAAACUAGGAAAAGAAGGCUAAAAAAAGAAAAUUGUGAGGAAUUCUGAUUCACUUUGGAUUCUUGAUGGACCGAGGACCAAUCAGAAAAUUAGAUGAUGACUUUUCUUUAAAGCAAGGAGUUAAAGAUCCAUAAGGAAACAAAAUUGAAGAGUCAUGAAGCUAAAUAAAAAGGGUUUCUAGACGUCAAAAAAAGGGCUGAAAAACGCACAAGAGAAGAGGGAGCCGUCAAGCAACUCAAGGAGAAGAAGUAAAGUUCAGAGCCCAGAAGAGAUCGAUCUCCCGAUUUAGAAGAUCGAUCUUUUCCCCUGUUUUUCAUCUUUCGUAUUUUCUUUUCUCCCCGAACCUUAUGAAAUUCUUUUGUGUGUUUUCAAAGAUGAUGAGUAACUAAUUUUCCUUUAGUUAGGGGCUGCUUUCAAGCCCUAGACAUGGUGUAACUAUGAAGGCGUUUAUUUAAUUUGUUCCAUGAAAUUCAGAUAUUUAUUGGUUUAUCGUUAUAUCAUUGAUCAACUUUGUAUGUUUAUUGAUGGUGGCCAACAUAGUAUGCGUGCUAGGUUGUAAAGCUAUGAAUGUUUUGUAUGAUCAUCAUGUCUACUUGCAUUCUAUAGUAGCGAGUGAGUGACUUGAGUCCAUUCACAUAAACCAAGUGUCUAGGUAGAUUAGGACAACGUCAGUACCGACAUUGCCUAGCCUUAUUCAUAAUCUUUUAGACCUUAAUGACUUAUAGGUGAGAGCUGUGCGAGAACAUCACUCUAGGCUCCAUUCUAGAUGCUAAGUUAAGUUGAAAACAUCAUUCUCCUACAAUACCAAGUAAGAAAGAUUGAUAGGUUAAGUUCAACACAUCAUUGGCUUAGCUUGAGUAAGGAUAUCCGAAUGAAUUGAACAUGUUAGUAAACACAUCAUAGGUGUAAUCAUUGUCUAGUGGUGAGAAGUAGUUCCUAGCUAGUAUUCGUUAUUUGGUUUUCAAAACCACAAUUCCCAUAUUUAGUUUACUGUUUUUGAUCAUUCUGUCCGUCGUUUUUCUGAAUUUUUUUAGCAUAGUAAAACUGCACAAUUUCCCCCCAAAUUUUGUGUGUGUCUUCGUCAGUGUGUCUAGUUUCUCUAGAUUUAAUUUCGUAAUUUUUUGUUGAGUCUAGCUAUAGUUUUUAAUUGUGUCUUUUUCUAGUGUCUGUUCAGUUUUUCAGAAUCAUAUAUGCAAUUGUUAAGUCACAAUCCUCUGCAGGAGACACCCUACUUUUCUAUACUACCAUCGAUAACUUUAUUGUGAUUGCAGGGUUAUUUAUAAGUCUAUUUUAGGCUUAUCAACUAUUUCACUCCGAUAUAGGGUAUUCUCAAUCUUGGUUAGCAGUGUUCUCCUCUUAAUCCAGAAUAAAAUGAUUCGUAAAAGAAAAUAAGUAUUACAAGCUGGGUAUGUUACAAAUUCUUCAGUGUUAUCACGUGUCUAUGUUUAAUAAUACUCUAACCAAGUGGCAUAUUGAGAAGAGUUUUUGUAAUUGUUUUUCAAUGAAACGUGACAAUAUUUUAAAGAUUUUGUAACAUAUCCACUGAAUAAUCAUAUAAUAAACAAUUUCAGUCUUAUUCUUUUUCCAAUGCACAUCUUUAUUCUGAGAGACCAAUUUUAUAUUAUGAAAGUUUCGGAUUAACAACUCAAAUGUUAUAACUAGUCUUUUUUGGAGGAAAAUAACCCAAAGAAAACUUAUCAUUCUUCAUCUUUUAUUAAGGAGAAAUUUUAUUAACACAUCCUUAAAUACUAGAUACACAUAUCUUUUUUUAUACAAAUUAUAUAAGACUUUGUGGGUACAUAAAAUUACCAAAAGAGACAUUCAUAUCAAAAGUAAAGAAAACUUGUUGAAAUAAAAUAUCUCGCUUAAGAGUUUUCUUCUUCUAUACGAGAACAACGUAUGUGAAGAUACCAAGUCCUAUAAUUUAAACCUCUAUAAAUUAAUAACGUCGG